rnacentral:rRNA from 1 species
UGGGGAAUAUUGGACAAUGGGGGAAACCCUGAUCCAGCGACGCCGCGUGGGUGAAGAAGGCCUGCGGGUUGUAAAGCCCUUUCGGUUGGGAAGAAAAGUUGCGACCUAACACGUCGCGACCUUGACGUAACCAACUAAAGAAGCACCGGCUAACUCUGUGCCAGCAGCCGCGGUAAUACAGAGGGUGCGAGCGUUAAUCGGAAUUACUGGGCGUAAAGCGCGCGUAGGCGGCUUGGCAAGUCGGGUGUGAAAUCCCCGGGCUCAACCUGGGAACUGCAUUCGAGACUGCUUUGCUGGGGAAUGGGAGAGUGAAGUAGAAUUGCCUGUGUAGCGGUGAAAUGCGUAGAUAUCGGAAGGAACAUCAGUGGCGAAAGCGACUUCCUGGACCAAUACUGACGCUCAUGCACGAAAGCGUGGGG